rnacentral:rRNA from 1 species
CCUACGGUGGGCAGCAGUGAGGAAUAUUGGGCAAUGGGCGCGAGCCUGACCCAGCCAAGUCGCGUGAGGGAUGAAGGUUCUCUGGAUCGUAAACCUCUUUUAUAAGGUAAUAAAGUGUGGGACGUGUCCUAUUUUGUAUGUACCUUAUGUAUAAGGCUCGGUUAACUCCGUGCCAGCAGCCGCGGUAAUACGGAGGAUCCGAGCGUGAUCCGGAUUUAUUGGGUUUAAAGGGUGCGUAGGCGGCCUUUUAAGUCAGUGGUGAAAGUCUGUGGCUCAACCAUAGAAUUGCAGUUGAAACUGGGGGGCUUGAGUAUGUUUGAGGCAGGCGGAAUGCGUGGUGUAGCGGUGAAAUGCUUAGAUAUCACGCAGAAC